AUUCAGCACAGAGCACAUUCGGGAAACAGUUGUCAUUCAGUUCGUACGCUCAUUGUUGGAAGCUGCUUUAUUAAAAAUUGAAAAAAAGUUCAAAGAGUGCUUUAUCUUAAAAAAAGUGUUUGUGUGUUAUAUUCCUAUCAAAGAUAACCCAAAAAAAGGAAGGAAUUGCAAUUAAAAUAAAGCAGUAACCAAUUGUGUGAAGAUGAAGAGAAUGAUGCAACUGCUUUCUCGACAGGACCGGGCUUGAUGGCUUGGCUAGUGUCGUCGUGGCAAAAUAACACACAAAGAAAACUCGAAUAAAAUUGUUAAAGAGAAAACAAAAAAAAACAAAGAAAACAUCUACACAUUCAGCUAAAAAUAAAACUCCUCCCAUCAUCAACUCUGCACAACAAUGCAACUGCUAGUUGUAUUUUCCCUAACAUCAUACAUUAGAAACUGCAUCGCAGCACAAGAUGAAUUCGGCGGUGGAGGCUAGAAACGAGGAUAGGGCAUAGUACCUGUACCAGUACCAGGCAUCUACUCGACUCGUAUCAUCUCCAACUUGCUACACUCGUCUUGUGUUUAAAGUGUGUGUGUGUGAAAUAGGGUGCGGUCAACAUGCGCAAGAAAGGGAUUCAAAUGCGCUCGGUUCGAAGUGAUAUCUAUCUCUGUAUUGUGUUUCGGACGACGACGACGUGUUGUUUGUCGGCACUCGGGAAGAUGUGGAUCUCACAUCUUGCAUAUAGGAAGAAGUUUAAAUUCUCUUAAUUUUUUUUUAUUAUAAUUUUGUGCGAUAUUUUUUUGCCCAAUAUCCCAAUAUUUACAGGUGUUUAUUAUAGGGUUUGCUUGUGGUGGAGAUUUUCUGUGCAAAAUGUGAUGUGGCCCAUUGUGUUCUUACGCUCUAAAUGAGAUGUAAUAGUGCUGUGGUGUGCUGUCUCUUUGAAAGUCAAUCAAAUCCAUUCCCUCAAACCAUGUGAUGUGCAUAUUCUGCUUCUUGUUCUAAAAAUGUAUCUCUAAAAUCAAGUGUUUUGAAUGUAAAACCAAAGUUAUUGUAUAUGAAAUUUUGAAAAGAAAAAAUGUUACACAUAUAUUGUAGAAGAAGAAAAUAAGAAAACCAAAUGUGUUAUAGGUUAUAAGUUUAUAAAUAGUUCUGUUAGAGAAAUCUGGAGGAUAAACCAGGCGUAACACUGACCCACACCUGUGUAUAACCCAAAAUCAACCGAAGAAGACGAUAGAGAAUAUAACCAGUUCCCAGCGUCCAUAGUAAGAUGGAAAAAUCCCUUUUAAAUCUAAUCCAUUACAUUCUAGGAACUUGAUAUAUCGAUUGAGAAUCACAGAAACAUAGCUGUCUGGAUCCACAAAAUUGAUAACACAAACUUUUAGGAAUGAAUGGAACUCCUUGUUGAAGCAACAUUAUUGUCUGCGGAAAUGUCCCGAAAGCUCUGUGUAACUUUUCAAUGUUAUAUCCCAAAAACUUUUUUUUUUUCUUAGUUAACAGCACCAUGCUGUCUUAACAUCAUAAAAUUUUCGCUUUUAUAGCAUAAGCCGGGGCCGUUCGGAGUUUUCUAUGUAUAUCUUCUACAGUUUUCAUCCCAUAUUCAGAGAAGCAAGCGGAACAACUUUUAAACUCAGUAACAUUAUUGCAUUAGAUAACGAAAUUUAUUUAUUUUGAUCACAACACCGGGUGUGUUGUCUUAAUUUGUAAAGAAAAAUCUGACAUUUUGUAGGAUGUGUUGGUCUUCAAAAUCCACCAGUAUCCAGGCCAUACAGUAAAACUCGAAUGGUGAUUUCUUGACUUAACUACAACACUGGGCGUGUUGUCUUAUUUCGGAAAAAGAAGCCAUUUUAUACAUCAGUAUCCAGUUGAACCCGUAACAGUCUUGUUAUACUUUUUUUUAAAUACAGCACUGGGUGUGUUGUCCUAACUUUAUGAAAUUAACACUUUUGUAGAUGAACCAUAGUUAAAGGCAUUCCUCCAAUUGUAGUGGAGAUAUUAUAGUUUGUGGAGAAUAGUAUGCAGAUGGAAUUAGUAAAGUGCUGCCUUGACAUUUCCUUAAAACAACGCAAUUUGUGUUGUCUUAACUUUAUAUAGUUCUGAUUUUUCUAGAUACAAAGUUAAUACGGUGAAGGCUCUAAGUUAAACGGUGAAGAGCUAAGAAAAACUAUCGGUCACAUAACUCCCUCACUAUGCACAAUAAGCGUGUGAUGAAUAACGGAAGUCAUCGUGUGAAUCCGAAAAUAGACAAAAAAAAGCAACAUUCGUAAAUGAUGAUUUUUUGACAUUUAAAUACCUACAAUGCUCCUAGGCGUUGUCAUAAAUUAUUUUUUUUUUGAAUUUUGCUUUUGUAGCUUUUUACACAAGAUUAUCGACUCUAUCGGAUACAAACGUGAAGAUUUCAAGAACAUUAUAAGCAAUCGUGAACAUUUGGACGUAAAAAUAAAAGUAGAAUUUGUAGUAGCAAAUAAUUUUUAUAAAUCAACAACAACUGCACAGAAAUGUGCUGUCAUAACAAAUAACGUUUCCGCUUUUAUAGCUUUCUUCAGUAUCAUUGCCGUAUAGAUGUCACAAAUUAGUGUCGUCAUCGUUUAUAAUUUUUUCCAAACUAAGUGCGCUUUUAUUGCAAUUUUACUUCAACACUUCUGAGUUACAGCUUUGGAGCGUUCAUACUUUGACUUUGGAUGAAAAACGUAAAGUACGGUAGUGAAAGGAACGGACAGUCCCUGUAAUAUUUUUUUCCAUAUUCUUUUUUUUUGCAAUUUUUUUUUUUAUUUCUUGUUAAAGGGAAACAAACGUAAACGGAACCGGCUAUUUUAUAUAAAUUUAAAACUUUAGUGACCAGCUGACAACAGACAACAAGAAAAAGAAUCUUUUUUCUUUCUCUCCCCUUCUCCCUUAUUUUCUUUUUAUACAUUUUUUUUUAGAGACUAUUAACCAAGAACACGGCUUCCAAGGGUAUAUCUCCGCACAACAUAUAUUUUCAAAAUUUUUAAUUUGCAGAACAGAACACUGAUUUUAGAGCAACAAUUGCACCUGAAAACUUAAAAUUCCUAAAAAAAAAACAAACAGAACUAGGUCCUGUAAGUUAAAUGAAAUACGUUCCCAAAAUUAAUUUUAUUUUAUAGUGAAAGCUUAUAAGCGAGAGGGAGAGAAUAAUGUUUGCGCAUAUUUGACCGAACCACCAUCAAUUUUAUUGACGUCAGAGUGAACGUGUGAACAUACAACUAUUUAUAUUUUUCAGCAAAUUUGCAAGAUAAGUUGCUUUUUUUUCGACUUUUUUCCUCUGCAUGGCGAAUUUUCUAUUUUUAGUUAAAAAAAAUAUUUGAGAGAGAAACAGAGAACGCACUCUUUUUAUCCAGAACUGAAACUGCUAGCGAAAGCGAACAUGAACACAUUUGCUGCAGAUAAAUUAAAGGGAAUCAAUACAACAAAACAAUUUAUUUUAUUCUCCGGCCUGUGUUCUUUGCGGUGUGUGUGUAACCUUCCUAGUAUACAGUACCUACUGCCUAUCUUUACCGUUACCCAUAAUGCUUUUUUCAAUUGUCCGCUUGUAAGUGAUUCUAAUCAAACAUUUUUACUCUAAUUUAAAUUUCAAAUUUACAGUAAAUAAUUUUAAAUUUUGUUUUAAACAAUAAUUUAAUAUUACAAACAUAAUAUUUUGGGAAGAUAUAUUUUUUUGAAAAACAUAAAAAGAAAAACAAAAACCGAUAAAAUCUAUAAACAAUAAACUUAACAAAUGUAAAAAAAUUCUUAUGUUCGCAGUGUCCAUACUAAUGCAUAACCUCUGUAUUUCAAUAGUGUUGUUAUAAUUUCAUAUUUGACAUAUGACAUCUGUCAAAAGCUUAAGAAACAAGAGCAUAAAUUUAAUUAUGAAUACUGUAAAAUAGAUUAUAAUGGUGAAUGCUAAACAAUUUUCUUUUGUUAAUUCUUAUUUAUUUAUUUUCUCUCGUUUGUUUUGUAAUGACAACACAUAAUUUUAGUACUUUUUUUUUGUACAUGAACUUUUGUAUAAUACAAGAAUGUGAAUUUGUUUUUAUGAUAAAAAAAAUGAUCUAUGAGAUUUGGUGGCAAAGUAUAAUUCAAAUCAUUAAUACUCAAAUGUAUUUUUAUUGCCUUUGUUUAAUAAUACAUAAUUUAACAAUAUGCAACCACAAAACAUACUCGCAAGCAAUUAUUGAUUUUAAUUCUUCCAUUUGUGUUUAUCAUUAUUAUCAAUCAAGCUUUACUCUGUUUAUUUUCCAAAACUUGGAAAUGUUUGUAUCGAAAAUACGCUUGCUUAUAUUUCUGUACACUUGAAUAAUAUUGAAUGUAUUUUUUUUUUGUAUUAAGUUAGAAUUGUAUGUACUCGUUUAAUGAAAGUAUGUAUUUACUAUUAAUGUGGACACUGGCGAAAAUGUAAAAGAAGAGACCAUUUUCAAUCUGUGAAUAAUUGUUUGGUAGUUACCUUAAUUUUGACAUGUUAACACACAUAUUCCCUGUAUUUGGUAUAAGAAGUAGAAUUUUAGAGAUUAUUUACAGAGAUAGAUCACAUUACUCUUAACCUAGCUGAGAGAGGUCAUGGUCAGUAGCGAUAACCAUAGUGUUUGGCGUUCUUAUCUGAGACAUAGGGUGCAGGCAAUCGUGUAGGCUCUUCACAGUUUCAUUAUUCAGAGAGAGAGAGUGGGUAUCAUCAAUCAAGACGAAACAUCAAUCAACACGAAACACCAAUCAACUUGAAACAUCAUUCAACUCAAAAAUCUAUGAGACAGAGAGAGAGAGAGAGGAUAGAUAUCACUUGAUCAACGCAGAGAGGCUGUAGGGACAAUUCUGUUCAUCAAUCAUAAACAACAAUAACUUUUGCUGAUGGCCAUCUUUUGAACUGGUAAACCUUCAGAGCAAUAUUGCGUUGGAAAGUCUUCAUAUCUUACAGUUGAUCAAUCUGCGACAACAAUAAUGCAUCAUUGUUGUCAGAAGACUAUACAUCUCCAUUUGAUCACCACCAUAGACUUUUACCUGCGGAAGAUGAUCUUUCAUACACUUAUCCCUUUGAAGUGCCAGAUAAAACAACUAAUGCGGUAAAACUUGGUGUAUUUUAACAACUGAUCAAUAUUAUUUCAGUUUGAAUGAAACAAAUCUUGAGGCUCAUACCAAUAUACUCAUGGCAAUUUCAUUUGGUUAAGAAGCAGUUCUAGCACUCCUAACAUCAAUUUUGUGAGGCGUGCGGUUAUUCAUCUCCAACAAUAUCGCUUGAAAUGAUCUACCAGUUCAAAGCCUACCUACUAUGGUUUCGAUUAGACAGACGAGCGUCGUCGUUGCGCAAUUUCACCAGGGUAACUUGUAAUUAUUUAUUCUGGACGAACCAUUCUUCGUAUAUUGCAGUUAAAUUCCGAUCAAAUUGUGGCACAAUAGUAUAGUUUCAUCUGAGAGCCUUCUGAUGAUAAACACACCAUCGAACCAUGUUUCCAUUUUGAGGUCGUACAUUAUCUGGGACAGGGCGAAAGGCAUAUAGUUCAGACCGAUCUAUCUAGCAUCUUUGAGGUUUUAUGGACAAAGAUUGAGUACUUUCAGUUACGAUUCUUGAAGUGACUCUACACCUUUUGACUUUUAAUCGAACAUGGGCAAAUGUUCCACUGUUUUUCCUGGUAACAAACUUGAGAUAUCUCCAAAACAAAUUUGGUACUUUCAGUUGAAUACACUUGGCGUUUGGAGUCCUACAUCUGGCUUCAAGACAUCUUUUGAUCACACACGGGCAUUGUUCAACUUCUUUCCUGGUAAAAAACUUGAGAUACUUCCAACAUAACAUGUUUAUUCCGUUAGACACGUGGCACUUGAUAAUUGGCUUGAAGAUAACUUCUGAUCGCACUGGGGCAAUGUUUCAAUGCUCUUAAGAUACCUUCAACACAAUUGGUAUUAUCAGUAAGACACUUGGCACUUGAGACUUGGUUCCCUGAAAACUUUUGAUCUGAUGUUCUACUACUUUCUUGGUAACAAAAAUUGAGAUACCUCCAACAAAACUUGGUAUUUUCAGUUAGACACUUGGCACUUGAGACUUGGCUACCUCUGAUGUUCUACUACCUUAAACUUGAGAUACCUUCAACACUUGGCACUUGACACUUGGCUUCAAGACAACUCCUGAUGUUCUGCUACACUUUUGGUAACAAACUUGAGAUACCUUCAACCAAACUUGGUAUUUUUAGUUUGACACUUGAGACUUGGCUUCAAGACAACUUCUGAUGUUCUGCUACACUUUUGGUAACAAACUUGAGAUACCUUCAACACAACUUGGUAUUUCCAGUUUGACACUUGGCACUUGAGACUUGGCUUCAAGACAACUUCUGAUGUUCUACUACUUUCUUGGUAACAAAACUUGACAUACCUCCAACACAACUUGUUAUUUCCAGUUAACACUUGGCAAUUGAGAUUUGGCAUCAAAACAACUUCUGAUCGUAUUUGCGCAUUGUUCUGCUUUCCUGGUAACACACAUGAGAUAUCUUCAAAACCACUUAGUACUUUCAGUUAUACGCUUGGCGCUUGAGAUUUGCUUUUAAGACAUCUUACGAUCGCAAAAGCAAAUCAUUUUUGCUUUCCCGGUAACAAACUUGAGAUACUUCCAAAACAACUUAGUACUUUCAGUUAUACACGCUUGGAGACUGAGAUUAAGCUUCAAGAUAACUUUUGAUGUCACACGCACAUAAUUCUACUUUCCUGGUAACACACUUGAGAUAUCUUCAAAACAACUUGAUGCUUUCAGUUACACAUUUGGUGCCUGGAGUACCAUUGAAUUGAUAAUCUGACAUUACACAACAUGUCAUUUUUAUCUACUGGUUAACGGGUAAUAUUUUUGAGAUAUCUUCGAAACAUCUUGGUUCUUUCAGUUAAAACUUGUAUCUGGAAGUUCUUGCUGAGUUACGAAAAACUGGUCUUUAAUAUCGAUGCAUAUCCUGAGAUAUCUUGCUGAGACAACUUCUUUCAACUUAACCUUAAAGUUGAAAGUUCCCAUUGUUUGACACCACAUUCCUGAAGACACUCAAACAUUCAGAUCGAACACAUCCUUGGACACGUUUUUGGGACUUUUAGUAACACAACCUAAUACUGUGAAGUUCCAUUUAUGUCCCGAGCACGAUAUGAUCUCCGAUUAACAUCGUUGAGUUGUUAACCCCGUUGAGAUAGCUUUGCAACAGCUUGAAACUUGGCACUUGGCUAUCGAGUAACCGUUUUGAGAUAAUUUGGAUGCAACUAAUGAACUACUUGAGAGUUGCCAAAUUUCUCAAUCUGAAGCAUCCUGUAUUAACACAUGCAUCAAGAUGAUAUCAAUAUUUUGCAUCUGGUAACAUCUUUUAGAUAUAUUGCAACACAAAAGUCUUCGUAUUUUCAGUAAAGUCUGACUUAAGCGCAGUUUUGGGGCCAUCAUCAUGGUUUAUCUUAAGCUGUUUCCGCAUUUUCAACUUCUUUUCAAAGUAGAAUCUCAACAAGAGGCAUCAAACUUUCUUUCAUCGCAUCAUACAUGUCUGGGUCAAAAUAAUCGUUAAUCGUAAAGAGUAGAACUUCAAAAUGAGUUGAAAAUCGACUUCCUGGUACUGUUACACCAUGUUGAGAGACAUACCUCAAAGCAAAUGCAGAUGCUGCGUGGUAACUACUGAAUUUUUAAUAUUCACUAGCAAAACUAUUCUUUCAGCUUUUUGAGUGAAGUUUCCGAUUGUGAAUAAAACUGUUGGGCGCCAUUUUUGGUUUAAGUUUUGCAAAGAUCCCAGCUUACAUUGGUGUUAGCGAACAUCUUGUAUCACUCGUAUGUCGACUUGCUUGCACUUUUGGAAGAGCAGAAGCACUUAGACCUUACAUACUACUGUCAACUCUUGUUGACUUCUUGAGACCAUUGACCCAGUUUACUCAACGUGUGAUGCAUGGAAUACAAUUUUGAUAGCAAUUUUUAAAACGUUCCCAAAUCUGGGUAACUUCAUCGAGUUUAGAAAUUUGGCAGCAGCGGCGUGGGAUUGCUUCGUAACGACGGCGGCGUGGGAAACAAUGCAUUGACUGCGGCGUGGGAGACGAGGCAUUGACGGCGGCGUGGGAAAAGAUGCAUUGACUGCAGCGUGGGAGUUCUUUGACGGCGGCGAGGGAAUCCAUGUUUUGACUGCGGCGAGGGAUCGUUGACGGCAUCGUGGGAAACUCUUAGCUGAUGCAGUUGACGGCGGCGUGGGAUCUGGAUGGCGUUCAAGUGAUGACUGCGGCGAGGGACACUGUUCCAGCAACGAAAUUGACGGCGGCGAAGGAUCGACGAAUAAAUUUGACGGCAGCGAGGGAUUUAAAAUGUUUAUUACUCUGCGAAAGGGAAAUCGGCGUGCAGCUUUGAGGACAUUUUUAACCACGGUUAAGCUCUCAACAAUCACACAAAGUCAUUCUAAUCAAUCAACAAAUCCUCCAAUUGUUAAGGGUUUUUGUAUUUCGAAAUGGAACUCCAACUCCAAUUGCAUCGCGAAACGACAUCCUUGUUAGACAUGUUAGGAAUCUAGUUAUUGGACCAAUAGACAACGACACCAUAAUAUCAAAUAUUUGUUCAUCUUGCCUGGGGUUUCUUUUGAAUUCAUCAUCCUUUUUGUUCACCUUAUUCAACCUUAGAGAAUUCAGCGCAGACUUACUAAUUUUUAAACCUUUUUUUUAAUGGAGAGAACAUUUACCAGCUGAUGUGUAGAAUUUUUUGUUUUCAUUUUUUGUUUAUAAUAAAAUUUUUAAUUGAAAAUAUGAAAUAUGGAAUUUCAAAGAAAAUAAAAUGCGUAUAUGAUUGAACUAAAAUAA